UUGAAAUGUGAGCUCUUAUUUUGUUUAGUUCACUUCAAACACAGCCAAUGUCAACCCGUCUCACAAUACCGCAGUGUGUAUUCAAAAGUUGCAAAAAUAAGGCCCGAAAAAGCAAUUUAACGGCCGGAGUAUCUUACUUUCGCUUUCCUAGCAAUCACGUGUGCAGAAUGGAUCUCGAUUGUCGCCAGAGAAACAAGAGAUGACGUGCUCCGUGCUCACGGCUACUGAAAUGUGGCCGAAACAUUGUAAUAAAAAUACCACGCUUGAAACCGUUUAAA